GUCAGCGUAGCUUAACCCAAAGCAUAACACUGAAGAUGUUAAGAUGGCCCCUGAAAAGGCCCGAUGACA
rnacentral:tRNA from 1 species